GCCCGGGUGGCACAAUGGUUAAGUGCGCAUACCACAUUAAAGCUGAGACCUUUCUGGAGCAGCCUGGGUUCAAAUCCAGCCCAGGCC